rnacentral:rRNA from 1 species
UACGGAGGGUGCAAACGUUGCUCGGAAUUAUUGGGCGUAAAGCGCACGUAGGCGGCCGAAUAAGUCGGGUGUGAAAGCCCUGGGCUCAACCCAGGAAGUGCACUCGAAACUGCUCGGCUUGAGUAUGGAAGAGGGUUGCGGAAUUCCAGGUGUAGCGGUGAAAUGCGUAGAUAUCUGGAGGAACACCGGUGGCGAAGGCAGCUCGCUGGGACGGUACUGACGCUGAGGCGCGAAAGCGUGGGGAGCAAACAGG